UACGUAGGGCGCAAGCGUUGUCCGGAAUUAUUGGGCGUAAAGAGCUCGUAGGCGGCUUGUCACGUCGGGUGUGAAAGCCCGGGGCUUAACCCCGGGUCUGCAUUCGAUACGGGCUGGCUAGAGUGUGGUAGGGGAGAUCGGAAUUCCUGGUGUAGCGGUGAAAUGCGCAGAUAUCAGGAGGAACACCGGUGGCGAAGGCGCCACUCUGGGCCGGUACUGACGCUGAGGAGCGAAAGCGUGGGUAGCAAACAGG
rnacentral:rRNA from 1 species